AGGUUCAAAUCAAAGUCAAAAUUAGACAAAAAAAAUUUGAAAAUCAAGUCUAAAUUGAAAAUUUUAUCAAAACUCAAAAAUCGAUUGGUUCAAACAGAAUCAAACUAAAAUAGAGCGGUUUGAUUCAGUUUAAUUUUUUAUUUAUUUCAAUUUAGUUCGGUUUCUAAAAUAUAAUAAUUCACUUAAUUCAAUUUUAAUGAUUUAAUUUGAUUCAAUUGAGUUAGAACCGAUUGCUCAGCUGUAAGGGUAGGUGAAUUUGCAAAUCUUUGCAUCACUUGCAAAUAGUAGAAUUUUUUGGUUGCUAUUUCUUUAGCAGAUUUUUGUAGCAAAACAAGGUUGGAUAUGCAGCUUCAGAAAAACAAGGUUUUCUUUUUCCUUUCUUCUAAAAUAGGAAAAGUUUCUACUCUUUUGUAUACGUACAGAAAAUCCUUAUUCUGAUAUUGAAGGAUGAGUUUUAGAUAGUGAUACUGUUCAUUUACCUCCAAUAACAUAUCAUUUCUGUUCUUCAAACCCUUGUCAACUUGUCGUAAGUAUUAAAUUCUCAAAUGUUUUGCUAGUCAGGAAGAAAGGCAGAGCCGGGAAAAUGCUCACAACCUUCAGAGGUCACAGAAAAGAAGAGAGAAAAGUU
rnacentral:misc_RNA from 1 species